GCCAGAGGGGAGGACGUGGGGCUAUCAGUCCAACUCCUCAGUUAAUAGCCAGGGAAACAGAAGCCCAGGGAGAUAAAGACGGUGGCAGAGGAGGAAUUCUUUCUUAGCAGAUCUUCCAUUCCUAAUCCAGGAUCAUUUCCAGGGCUCCCAGGUUCUCAAGAUGCUUGAAUCCUGGGACAAACACAGAGGAAGGAGCUCCUAAGGAUGGGGGCAGUGGUGAGGAAACAGGCCACUGAGACAGUGAUGGUGUUUGUAGGCAAAGAAGCUACUUGUAUUUGCCAACCACACCAGGAGGCCAGACUCGCCGCAGGGCACAGCACCCUCCAGAAAAACAGGUCACUGAAAAUAAUAUCAGGGGAGGAAGUCAAGAAGGCUGCUGUAUUCAUUCUGCUUUAAUGAGUAGAGGAGAAAUCUUUUGCCACAUUUGGAGAAAGGAUUGAAGAGAAAUGAGAGCCUGGAUGUGAAGAAAACAUUAGGAAGCUGCAGCAGUAACCUAUGUGAGAAAUUAAGAGAACCUAAAUCAGAUCCGUUGGCCAUCAAGAUUUCACUCAUUUUGAGACCUAGAGAUUGGUGCUCCUGGAGCUGUGAAAUGCGUGGCCUCUGUAGCCCUGUGAAGGUCUUGUUUCUAUGGCGAUACAAGAGAAAGUCUUUGCAGAGUUGUUGCAGCUGGAAGUCUUCACUUACUUUAAGAGCUCAUUAAAGCUAGUGGAGCCUUCCAAACCUGAAAUGAACUGCUCCUUACAGAACUGCCAAAAGGAAGAAAUAGAAAAGAAAAAAGAAGCAAUAGGUCCAAAAAGUCAAGAGAAGCUAUGCUGUACCCUCAACACUCUGCCUAGAGAUUUCUUCCAUGAAAUAUCCUAGUUCACAUCUGCCUCCUGCAAACUACUAGGACAUGGACACUGCUCAGCCAAGUUCUGUGCCAAUUUGUAACAAGAAUGGCCUUUCCUCCUAUUUCCAAUAAGGCCCCAUCAGCAGAGGGAGGAGAAGAGGAGAAGCAGCUGGACAUCAGAGACUAUGGUUGGACAUUGGAGAGAAGCAGCUUGACUUCAAAGGGACGGCUUGAUGGCAUUGCUUCGGAGAGGAGUUCAGCCAGGGACAGCUGGACUCUAGGGGAAUAUUAUCUUCCCACACCAUCCACUUUUCAGCUCCCCUUCCCACUGAGAACCACUUUCAUUGGCAA
rnacentral:lncRNA from 1 species